rnacentral:rRNA from 1 species
CAAAGGGAUUACCGGUGGCGGAUGGGCAUGCGGCGCAUUAGCUAGUCGGCGGGGUAACGGCCCACCGAGGCGACGAUGCGUAGGGGUUCUGAGAGGAAGGUCCCCCAUACUGGUACUGAGACACGGACCAGACUCCUACGGGAGGCAGCAGUGAGGAAUAUUGGUCAAUGGGCGCGAGCCUGAACCAGCCAAGUCGCGUGAGGGAUGACGGUCCUACGGAUUGUAAACCUCUUUUGCCGGGGAGCAAGCGUGCGUUCGUGAACGCGCGUCGAGAGUACCCGGAGAAAAAGCAUCGGCUAACUCCGUGCCAGCAGCCGCGGUAAUACGGAGGAUGCGAGCGUUAUCCGGAUUUAUUGGGUUUAAAGGGUGCGUAGGCGGGAUGCCAAGUCAGCGGUAAAAAUGCGGUGCUCAACGCCGUCGAGCCGUUGAAACUGGCGUUCUUGAGUGGGCGAGAAGUAUGCGGAAUGCGUGGUGUAGCGGUGAAAUGCAUAGAUAUCACGCAGAACUCCGAUUGCGAAGGCAGCAUACCGGCGCCCUACUGACGCUGAGGCACGAAAGCGUGGGUAUCGAACAGGAUUAGAUACCCUGGUAGUCCACGCAGUAAACGAUGAAUGCUAACUGUCCGGCUCGAAUGAGCGCUGG